rnacentral:rRNA from 1 species
UCGAGAAUCUUCCGCAAUGGGCGAAAGCCUGACGGAGCGACGCCGCGUGGUGGAUGAAGUCCUUAGGGACGUAAACACCUUUUAUGAGGGAGGCGUUACCUCAUGAAUAAGGGGCUCCCAACUCUGUGCCAGCAGGAGCGGUAAUACAGAGGCCCCAAGCGUUAUCCGGAUUUACUGGGGUAAAGGGUGCGUAGGUGGUUAGAUUAGUCAGGUGUAAAGCCUCGGGCUCAACCCGAGAUCCGCAUUUGAAACGGUCUAACUAAAGAAGUCAGAGGCAAGCAGAACUCACGGUGUAGGGGUGAAAUCCGUUGAUAUCGUGGGGAAUACCAAAUGCGAAGGCAGCUUGCUGGGACUUUCUUGACGCUGAGGCACGAAAGCGUGGGUAGCGAAUCGGAUUAGAUACCCUUGUAGU